CGGCUGGGAGCCGCGCGGCCGGGAGCGGCGCGGCGACGUUGCGCGACGCGGCCGACGAGGCCGAGGCCCGGUUCUCGACCGCGCUGGCCGA
rnacentral:tRNA from 1 species